rnacentral:rRNA from 1 species
CCUACGGGGGGCAGCAGUGAGGAAUAUUGGUCAAUGGACGCAAGUCUGAACCAGCCAAGUAGCGUGCAGGAUGACGGCCCUCCGGGUUGUAAACUGCUUUUAGUUGGGAAUAAAAGGUGGCUCGUGAGCCCCGUAUUGUAUGUACCAUCAGAAAAAGGACCAGCUAAUUACGUGCCAGCAGCCGCGGUAAUACGGAAGGUCCUGGCGUUAUCCGGAUUUAUUGGGUUUAAAGGGAGCGUAGGCAGGCGUUUAAGUCAGCUGUGAAAGUCCGCGGCUCAACCGUGGAAUUGCAGUUGAAACUGGCGUUCUUGAGUGGGCGAGAAGUAUGCAGAAUGCGAGGUGUAGCGGUGAAAUGCAUAGAUAUCACGCAGAACUCCGAUUGCGAAGGCAGCAUACCGGCGCCCAACUGACGCUGAAGCACGAAAGCGUGGGUAUCGAACAGGAUUAGAUACCCUGGUAGUC